rnacentral:tRNA from 1 species
GCCUAAAUAGCUCAGCUGGGAGAGCGUCAGACUAUAAAUCGAAAGGUCCCUGGUUCGAGCCCGGGUUUCGAGU